rnacentral:misc_RNA from 1 species
UUAUGUCGGCCGUGCACGAUAUCAGAAGAAAUAAACAUAACUCGGUGAGCCCGUGCACGCUGGCCACGCAAGAGUACAGUGCGAGGGAAUUCAACGAAUAUCUGAACAAGACCGGAGUUCAUUACUACAUUCGGUACGUGUUGACGUUCGCAUCAAUCUUUGGAGUGUUUCCGGUCAGCAACAUACACCAACGAGACGUUUACAAAUUGACGUUUCGCUGGUAUUAUCCGAUUGCUAUUUACUCGGCUCUUUUGUUUUGUGGAUUUGCGUCCAUUGAGUUAUUCUCGUUGGACUACACUAUAAGGAACUUAAAUCAAGAUAAUCUAACAGCGAAAGGAGGGAUAAAGAAAGCCACAUCGGGAAGUAUAUUUUACGGCAAUGCGUGUUGUGCACUUUGGAUGUUCAUAAAACUAGCGAAGAAAUGGCCUAAGCUGAUGCAGGAUUGGCGGUCGGUAGAGAUUUCGAUGAGGAGGUUUGGCGCUCCAAGACUCGGAUGGAAAUCAACUACUCUUGCUGUGGUAUUACUAGUGUUCGCGUUUACUGAACACGGCUUACACAAUUGGUUAAAUACAAGGCCCGGCGGUAAAGAUGACAUUGCAUCCAUGUCGCUGAUCGACAAUGAUGAUAAUGGCAGUCUUAUACUUCUAGAUCAGUCCGCAACAUUCACAGGAUAUCUCGAACGGUUUUCUUUAAAGACGCAUUGGUACUUGUACGAUGAUUAUGACAGUUAUAACCCGGUAAAAGGCUUCUUGGUAAUGUGGUUAAGUCUGACUGCGACGUUCCUGUGGAAUUUCACCGAUCUUUUCAUCAUGUUAGUCAGCUCAGCACUGGCGGCUCAGUUUAAGAAACUAACAAAAGCCAUGCAUAGCGUUAGAGGUCAAUUCCAUCAAACACAGCUAUUUCAGAACGCUGUUCUACAUGUACUCGUUUAUGUUUUUGGUGUUUCGGACCACAGCAGUCGUGAUGCAAGCAUCUGCUAUAAACGAUGAGAGCAAAAAAAUUGUGCCAGAAAUUUUCAUGUGUCCGACGCACAGUUACAGCAUAGAAACACAAAGAUUUUUACAAGAAGUCACAUCAGAUUAUGUAGCUUUAACAGGAUUAAAAAUGUUUUCAAUUACAAGAAACUUCCUUUUGGGGGU